rnacentral:rRNA from 1 species
UGGGGGAUAUUGCACAAUGGGCGAAAGCCUGAUGCAGCGACGCCGCGUGGGGGAUGAAGGCCUUCGGGUUGUAAACUUCUUUUGCUCUGAACAAGGCAUGCCUUUGGGGUGUGUUGAGUGUAGGGGUUGAUUAGCGCCGGCUAACUACGUGCCAGCAGCCGCGGUAAUACGUAGGGCGCGAGCGUUGUCCGGAAUUAUUGGGCGUAAAGGGCUUGUAGGUGGCUGGUUGCGUCUGUCGUGAAAGCUCAUGGCUUAACUGUGGGUUUGCGGUGGGUACGGGCUGGCUUGAGUGCAGUAGGGGAGGCUGGAAUUCCUGGUGUAGCGGUGGAAUGCGCAGAUAUCAGGAGGAAUACCGGUGGCGAAGGCGGGUCUCUGGACGAAAACUGACGCUGAGGCGCGAAAGCGUGGGGAGCAAACAGG